GACGUAGGGCGCGAGCGUUGUCCGGAAUUAUUGGGCGUAAAGGGCUCGUAGGCGGUUUGUCGCGUCGGGAGUGAAAACACCGGGCUUAACUCGGUGCUUGCUUUCGAUACGGGCAGACUAGAGGUAUGCAGGGGAGAACGGAAUUCCUGGUGUAGCGGUGAAAUGCGCAGAUAUCAGGAGGAACACCGGUGGCGAAGGCGGUUCUCUGGGCAUUACCUGACGCUGAGGAGCGAAAGUGUGGGGAGCGAACAGG
rnacentral:rRNA from 1 species